CGGGUGAGUAAAGCAUCGGAACGUACCCUAGAGUGGGGGAUAACUAUCCGAAAGGAUAGCUAAUACCGCAUAUUCUAUGAGUAGGAAAGCGGGGGAUCUUCGGACCUCGCGCUCUAGGAGCGGCCGAUGUCAGAUUAGGUAGUUGGUGGGGUAAAGGCCUACCAAGCCGACGAUCUGUAGCGGGUUUGAGAGGAUGAUCCGCCACACUGGGAAUGAGACACGGCCCAGACUCCUACGGGAGGCAGCAGUGGGGAAUUUUGGACAAUGGGGGCAACCCUGAUCCAGCCCUGCCGCGUGAGUGAAGAAGGCCUUCGGGUUGUAAAGCUCUUUCGGCCGGGAAGAAAUCGUGUGGGCUAAUACCCUGCAUGGAUGACGGUACCGGAAUAAGAAGCACCGGCUAACUACGUGCCCGCAGCCGCGGUAAUACGUAGGGUGCGAGCGUUUAUUGGAAUUACUGGGCGUAAAGCGUGCGCCGGCGGUUUUUUAAGACAGGCGUGAAAUUCCCGGGCUUAACCUGGGAACUGCGCUUGUGACUGGAAGGCUAGAGUUCGGCAGAGGGGGGUGGAAUUCCACGUGUAGCAGUGAAAUGCGUAGAGAUUUGGAGGAACACCGAUGGCGAAGGCAGCCCCCUGGGCCGAUACUGACGCUCAUGCACGAAAGCGUGGGGAGCAAACAGGAUUAGAUACCCUGGUAGUCCACGCCCUAAACGAUGUCAACUAGUUGUUGGG
rnacentral:rRNA from 1 species